UGCCAGCAGCCGCGGUAAUACGGAGGGAGCGAGCGUUAUUCGGAAUUACUGGGCGUAAAGCGCGUGUAGGCGGAUAGGAAAGUCAGAGGUGAAUGCCCGGGGCUCAACCCCGGAACUGCCUUUGAAACUAUCUAUCUAGAGUCCGAUAGGGGGUGGUGGAAUUCUUAGUGUAGCAGUGAAAUGCGUAGAUAUUAAGAGGAACACCAGUGGCGAAGGCGACCACCUGGAUCGGUACUGACGCUAAGACGCGAAAGCGUGGGGAGCGAACGGGAUUAGAUA
rnacentral:rRNA from 1 species